CCAUUCAUAAAAAUCAUGGCCGAUAAAACAAACACUUCAUCGAGUUCUCUCAACAAUUUCUCGACGUAUGCACAUUCCCUGUCAGUUGAAGCAAAGCAGAGAUAUUCCACAAAGUUUCUCAAAAAUGGAGUUCAGACCGAAGCACUUGGCCCGACCUCACCUUUGGCUAUAUUUACCUUUCCUUGAUUGACACGCCUUCCAUCUACACAAAAGAGUCAACGAAAGCAUACAAAUCGUUAGAUGCAUACAAUUACGUAGUCAGUGAACAUGUACAAGUGGUGUUUUCCCACCAAGUGGACGACGACUGUCCAUUCAUGGUCCUCAAGACAAAGGUCACACCGUCACAGACAGCUAGAAAUAAACCACAUAAACCAUGGGUGUAUUUGGAAAAGAGCAGCGGGACAGUAUACUGUGCUCACUGUACCUGUAUGGCAGGUAUGUAUACUGUACGACUCGAUUUUGACCCAGAGUUCUAAUGUUCUUAUAUAUAUGUAAAUUGAGGUAAAUUAUAUGGCCUUCCAAAUACCGUUUAGAUUUCUAACAUCACUGAAGAGACAUUAAUUGUUGAAAUCCGGAUAUGGUGUACAAAUUUUUGCACCUCAUGUUUGCGGUAUACCAUCUUUUCCGCAAUUUUGUUGUUUUCUGUUUGGUAUAAAAUUAAUAAUUAAGAUCCAUUUUGUUACAUCUUGUGAUACGUUUAUUUGGCAAUCGCCAUGGCAGUCAGCAGGGUUUAAGAACAUCAGUUUUUCGACCUGUUAGUCAAAUGCGUUUUGUUAAAAUAUACUUUUUCACUUUUUGGUCUUUUGGAAAAUGUUGUUUGUGCUGUAUUUAGACCCCUCUAUCAAGAAAUUUGUUUUGCAUGCACACGUAUAAAAAUUGCUGUUUUUAUCCAACGCAAUCAUAUGUUUGAACGCUGUUUUCAAUUUAGACUUGUAUAUAUAUAUAAGAACAUCUGAACCAGUGACAACUCAACGACAGAUUUUAUCAAUCGGAUCACCAGUGAUAUAUGGUGAUACAAGGCUGAAAACACAUUCUGUAUAUAUAAUUCGUCUAAAUAUCAGCCCAACAAUGUUAGAUCUGCAAAUUUGCGGAAGCAAAUAUUUUGUUCUUCCCUGGCCGGGAUUCGAACUCAUGCUACUGAGAUAUCGUGGCACCAAAUCGCCUUGCACUAUGCCCGGCGCGCUAGACCACCCGUCCACCUAGGCUCGAUAAAAAAUCAAGCUUCCGGUGGCCGGGUGUUACCUUUCCUCGUCAGUUUUUAUCUAGCGUCGUAACACAGUACAUGAUAUAUAAGGCAUGAAGAUGGAAUAUUACAUAUAAAGUGCCUAGAAAAUCAACCUUACGAUGUUAGAGUAUAUCUGAUUCUUUACUUCCUCCCCAAGCGGGGCUUGAACCUGCACUUUAUUUCUCUCUUCUACGACAACACCGCCUAGCAUUGCGUAGACGCCUUAUCCCCUACUCUAACUAUAGCUGAUAAAAAUCAGCUUUCGUUUCGGGAGGUGUUACCUUCUCGUAGGAAUUAAACAUAUAUAUAUAUAUAUAUAUAAAUAUAUUAUGUGUUUUAAAUAUUGAAAUAAAAAUAAGGAGAUGUGGUACGAUUGCCAAUUAGACAACUAUCCACAAAAGUUCAAUUAAAUUGGAUGUAAGCAGUUAUAGGCAACCCUACAGUCUUCAACAAUGAGACAAACCCAUAUCGUAUGGUCGGCUGUAUAAGGCCCUGACAUGAAAAAUAUGAAACAAUUCCGUUGAUAUAUUACAUUUAGUUUCAUUAGCACAGAUACAUUGUUCAAAAUGUCAUGUAACAAAAAUUUCUUCAUUUACAAGUCAGGGGAAGUAUGCAGUCAUGUUGGGGCAAUUCUGUUCAAGGUGGAAAUGGUUGUAAAAAUUGGAAUCACACAAACUAACUCAACCAGUAAAGCUUCUCCGUGGAAUAACAGAUUUAGGAAAGCGGUAUAUUUUUACACAUCUAUUCAGGUUACUCCAACUACUGUCACAGACAUUUUCCAGCAUAUAAAGGGUAGACGGACAAAAGAUAUCGCAAGUAUUAAAGCCAAUGGAGCAGCACCUCUCACUCCCCAGGAAGUCCUAGAUGAACUGUAUGGUAUUGCACCUUACGCUGCCUUUGUUUACUUCAAUUAUGACACCAAGUAUAGAUAAUCCACCUGCCUCAAAUACAACUGAAUGCAAGUACCCUCCAUUGCUGUCAACACUUCAACAGACAGAUAACAACGACAUAAAUGGCCUUCGUGAUAAAACCAUAGAUUCGUAUACUGUUUCACAAUACUAGGCAGAAAAUUUAGAUGUAGCAACCAGAAAUCAAGCCAUCAGUUCCUUAUGGUAUCAACAGCAUCAAAAGCUCAUAAUGUGCUAGUUCGUAAAGCAACAACACCUGCAGCCAACCUUGUCAAAAGGAUAGCUGGUUAUUCGACAUAUGACCUUUAAAAAAACAGUCAGUCAAAUGGGGCGUAGACCACGAAGAUGAAUGUAGACAGGUAUACACAAAUCACCAAUAGAACCACCACCUAGACCUAAUAUGUUCUCCGUGUGGUUUCUAUAUACACACAAUUCAUUCCUAGGAGUCAGCCCUGAUGGCAUUGUGAACUGUAAGUCCUGUGGCAGAGGUACAAUAGAGGUCAAAUGUUCUUUUAAACGCUGAUAUAACUGUACCACAAGCUGCACAGAGUAACAAAAACUUCUGUCUCGACGAAAAUUUAACCCUGAAGACCAGCCACAGAUAUUUCACGCUAGUCCAGAUGCAGAUGUUCAUCACCAACUGCCAGUAUUGGGACUUUGUUGUGUAUACCAAAUGCCAGCAAGAAGCAAGCAUGGUAAUAGUGUGAGUCCCAAUUGAUCUAGACUUUUGCCACAAGUUGAUACAAAAGUGUGAGGACUUUUUUAAAACUUCGUUAUACGUGAACUUCUCAUCAGAUAACUUGAAAAUGAGCCAACAACAAACAACAAUGCUAAUGAGAAAUCAUGGUGUAUUUGGUGACUAAUGUCCUUAAGAAUGGUUUAGAUUCUUUAGAUGUAACUCGAAUAUCUUCGAGGUUUUUUGGUAUGCGGUAAGCCAUGACGGGAGGUGAUGGAAAAAUCUCUUUUAAGGACAACUCAGACAACAACUUAAAUCAAGAGGUUAUAAGAACAAAAACAUUUCAGACGCUUUCGGUAAAGCAAAAGAAAAAGACAGAACAAACCUACUUGAAUACAAAGAAAAGACGGCCCAGACAAAUAAAAUUCCGUUUGUUGUCAGCUUUCAUCCUGACCUGACAAAUCUUUCAUCUAUUGUCCACAAACACUGGCGUCUUAUUGAAAAUGAUCCUUCCUUUAAAAGAGAUUUUUCCAUCACCUCCCGUCAUGGCUUACCGCACACCCAAAAACCUCAAAGAUAUUCAAGUAACAUCUAAAGUAUCUUAACAAGAGACAUCGACAAUAGGGGGUUAUAAACCAUGCGGAAGAGGCAAUUGUAAGUGCUGCAUAGUCGCCAAUAUUGAAACCCAAUUAGUCAGCACAGUCACAAAAAAUAAAUACAACAUAUUUAUUACAUCCAAUUGCAAAACGCAAAACUGUAUUUAUGUUCUAACGUGUGGAACUUGCAAGUUGCAAUAUGUUGGUGAAACAGAAACACCAUUCAACAUCCGACUGAAUAACCAUCGGUCAUUUUAUACAAAGGAAAGAAACAGCCCAAUCACAAGACAUCUUUUAAGAAAAGGGCAUGAUUUUGAAAACGUCACAUUUCAAAUCAUUGAGAGAAACCAAAAUUGGGACAAGGAAGACAAAAGAGAGAUAGAUUUUGGAUGCACCAGUUACGGACUCAUGAACCUGAUGGACUCAAUGAGAGAAAUGAGAAAAGAUUUAAAAACAAUCAAAAUAAUAAUCUUGAAAUCAUACAAUUUAUAGAAUAUCAAUAAAUAUGUUAAACUUUUAUUCCAACUUUGUGUCAUUUAAGGAUGUAUUCUUCUGACGUUUCAGUCUCGUUGAAAACUCGUUCUGGAAUUAUUUCCAAAACAUGCGAUACAAGUGGAAAAUAUCAACGAAUUUUAAAAAUGUUAUAAUUAAACUCAACUCUGUGAAAAAAUUGUGUAUUUACAAUGAGUAGUUUUUGAGUAAUCAAUUUUUCAAAUUUUACGACCAAUCAAGUCAGUCUUUUUGGCCAAAAUUUUGAGAAAAUGGAUGAGGGGUACAAAAAUUGAUUUUACCAGAAACUUGUACAUCCCAUAUCACUUUUUUCUUUUCAAAUUUCUUAGAUAUGUAUUUUUUCAAUCAUUUAUAACAAAAAAAUUGAAAUAAUAUGCAUUUUGUUCUUAAAACUGAGAAAAAUCACAAAUUUACAAAAUUGACAGCAUGGUAAAUUUGAUACAAAAAAGCAUCAACAUAUGAUAAAAACUUUCUUAUAUUAACACCUACCCAUAGUUUUUUUUAGUUAAAUUUAUUCAAAUUGUUCCACUUCAUCUUUAUUGAAAGUAUGAAAAAAAGUUAAAUUGUGGAACUGUGAUUUUUUUUCACGAUAAUAGCCCAAAAAUAGGUAAAAAUUGAUGAAAAAUGAGAUAAUCAUCAAAAUUGGUACUUUCAAAGGGCCGUAGCAAAAAAAAAAGAAGUGCACCACCAUAAGAAUUUGUCUUCACCAAUUAUGUUUUUACAGUCAUAUAAACCCAAAAAUCAAGUUAAGAAAAAAAGUUUAAUUCUAGAAAAUUUUGGCUCCUCAGAGGUGUACAUCCUUAAGCUACAAAAAUAUUCUUUUGUCGUGCAUCCGAUUUCACCUUGAUAAAUGCACACGCCUGAUGAAGCUAGUUUGUCUAACAAAGUAUUGCGUAUAUCUAAUUAAAAUCUAAUAGAACUUUUUAAUGUAUCAAUUAGCGUGUUUAAGUUAUAUUCUUAGACAUUUAUAUAAUUUUAAUUCAGUAACUGUAUCAGUUUAUUUUCACAAGCUGAUCCACGCUUAAAUAGACUGGAUGUUGAUUGUUGCUAAUUUUAGACAUUAUAUAUAUAUAUAUAUAUAUGUAUUGAGAAAAUAGACAUACAUGUAACAAUUAAAAAUUGCAUUAUCAAUAGCUGGAUUGCACACUAAAAAAUGUAAGAAUUAUUGAAAAAUGAAAACUAUUUUAAUCAAUAUAACAUGUAUAACAACACAUAUCUAUAAUAAAGAAAAUUUGGAAAUAAUUUUGCUCAAAGUUUUUGAAUUUAAUAAGAAUACAGUUUGUUAAUAUGAACAUUUUCAUAUAUAUUUUGUAACUGGCAUUUUCUUUCAUGUAGAAUCAACAGAAGUUCUUGGUAAUGCACCAUUAAUGCAAAAUAUUAUGCUCAUGUUUGAAAACCAUAGACUUGUACAUUGUAUGACAUAAAUUAUUUUGUAAUACAUCAUUGUAUGAAAUAAAUUAUUU